rnacentral:rRNA from 1 species
CCUACGGGAGGCAGCAGUGGGGAAUAUUGCGCAAUGGGCGAAAGCCUGACGCAGCGACGCCGCGUGAGGGAUGAAUGUCUUCGGAUCGGAAACCUCUGUCAGCAGGGAAGAACAGUCACUGUGCUAAUCAGCAGUGAAUUGACGGUACCUGCAAAGGAAGCACCGGCUAACUCCGUGCCAGCAGCCGCGGUAAUACGGAGGGUGCGAGCGUUAAUCGGAAUUACUGGGCGUAAAGCGCUCGUAGGCGGUAUGUCAAGUCAAGGGUGAAAUCCCCGCGCUCAACGGGGGAACUGCCUUUGAAACUGGCAAACUGGAGUGUGGGAGAGGAUAGCGGAAUUCCAGGUGUAGGAGUGAAAUCCGUAGAUAUCUGGAGGAACAUCAGUGGCGAAGGCGACUAUCUGGCACAUAACUGACGCUGAGGAGCGAAAGCGUGGGUAGCAAACAGGAUUAGAUACCUUAGUAGUC